rnacentral:tRNA from 1 species
GGCGGAAUAGCUCAGUUGGUUAGAGCAGCGGAAUCAUAAUCCGCGUGUCGGGGGUUCGAGUCCCUCUUCCGCUAC